GGAUGAACGUUGGCGGUGUGCCUAAUACAUGCAAGUCGAACGGAGCUAAUAGCAAUAUUGGCUUAGUGGCGAACGGGUGAGUAACGCGUUGGUGAUCUGCCUUGAAGUGUGGAAUAACGUUCCGAAAGGAUCGCUAAUACCGCAUGUGCUCUCGAUUUUCAGAAAGUUGAGAGUAAAGGAUUUAUUCGCUUCAAGAGGAGCCUGCGUCCCAUCAGCUGGUUGGUAGGGUAACGGCCUACCAAGGCUAUGACGGGUAGGGGACCUGAGAGGGUGGCCCCCCACAAUGGAACUGAAACACGGUCCAUACACCUACGGGUGGCAGCAGUAGGGAAUAUUAGAAAUGGACGAAAGUCUGAUCUAGCAACACCGCGUGUGCGAAGAAGGCCUUCGGGUCGUAAAGCACUUUUUGGAAGGAAUAGGAAGGAAUGUACUUCCAGAAUAAGUCUCGGCUAACUACGUGCCAGCAGCCGCGGUAACACGUAGGAGGCGAACGUUAUCCGGAUUUACUGGGCGUAAAGCGCGUGUAGGUGGUACUGUAAGUAGGGCGUGAAAGCUCCUGGCUCAACUGGGAGAGGCCGUUCUAAACUACAGAACUAGAGGAUGGUAGAGGGAGGUGGAAUUCCAGGUGUAGCGGUGGAAUGCGCAGAUAUCUGGAGGAACACCGGUGGCGAAGGCGGCCUCCUGGACCAUUCCUGACACUCAGACGCGAAAGCUAGGGUAGCAAACGGGAUUAGAGACCCCGGUAGUCCUAGCCCUAAACGAUGUAGACUAGGCGUCGGAAGUUUAAUCACUUUCGGUGUCCAAGCUAACGCGAUAAGUCUACCGCCUGGGGACUACGGCCGCAAGGUUAAAACUCAAAGGAAUUGACGGGUCCCCGCACAAGCAGCGGAGCGUGUGGUUUAAUUCGACGCAACGCGAAGAACCUUACCAGGGUUUGACAUCCCUUGACCAUCAUAGAAAUAUGACCUUCGAUCCUUCGGGAUUGACAAGGAGACAGGUGGUGCAUGGUUGUCGUCAGCUCGUGUCGUGAGAUGUUGGGUUAAGUCCCGCAACGAGCGCAACCCCUAUUUUUAGUUGCCAGCGAGCAAAGUCGGGCACUCUAAAGAAACUGCCGGUGACAAGCCGGAGGAAGGUGGGGAUGACGUCAAAUCAUCAUGCCCUUUAUAUCCUGGGCUACACACGUGCUACAAUGGCUGGUACAGAGGGCGGCGAAGCUGUGAAGCGAAGCGAAUCCCAAAAAGCCAGUCUCAGUUCGGAUUGCAGGCUGCAACCCGCCUGCAUGAAGUCGGAAUCGCUAGUAAUCGCGAGUCAGCAUAUCGCGGUGAAUACGUUCCCGGGUCU
rnacentral:rRNA from 1 species